rnacentral:rRNA from 1 species
UACGUAGGGUGCAAGCGUUGUCCGGAAUUAUUGGGCGUAAAGAGCUCGUAGGCGGUUCGUCGCGUCGGCUGUGAAAACCCGGAGCUCAACUCCGGGCCUGCAGUCGAUACGGGCGGACUCGAGUUCGGCAGGGGAGACUGGAAUUCCUGGUGUAGCGGUGAAAUGCGCAGAUAUCAGGAGGAACACCGGUGGCGAAGGCGGGUCUCUGGGCCGAUAUUGACGCUGAGACGCGAAAGCGUGGGGAGCAAACAGG